UUAUUUUUAUUUAUUUUUGUUUGUUUAUUUAAUUUUAAACCAAAGGUAUUAGGGAUAUUUUACCCUUUAAUGAAUGUCAUUUUUGUGACUUUUUCCUUCUAGUAUCAUUUUUGAGACAUAAACUUCAAAAGGUGCUAUUAUUGACAAUUGCCCUUGCUACAAUCAGAGAGAGAGAGAGAGAGAGAGAGAGAGAGAGAGAGAGAGAGAGAGAGAGAGAGAGAGAGAGAGGAAAAGCACCUAGGAAGCUUUCCCAGAUCCAAUCUCUAGAAACGACUGAAAGGAAGCUUUUCCAGAGAUCUGCUGAAACGGGUUUUCGUCCAGGAUGUGCCACGAGAAUGGUGAAUCCCUCAUCGCAUAUGCGGAAAAGAGGUUCAGAUAACAUUUCCAGUGUAGUAUCACCACAGAUGAGCAUUAAAGUAGCCGGAGGUUGCACACUCAUUCUCCAGCCAAACAACUGAGACAGACAAUCUGUUUUGAGCAAAAAGGAAAUCAACGUUGAGAACCGUUACUUGUAAAAAGAAAAAAACCAAAGGGAUAAAAAGACAUACAGCCGAAGAUGUUUGAAAUAUGGAUUCCAGAGGAAAAGAGCGCUUCCAGGAGGGAGGCAGAGCGUGGGUUGAGAUGUAGGUUGGACAUGGCAGUGAUGGUGACCGGACCAAGGUAGCCUGAAUUUUUCAAUGCCGAUCUUAUACUCCGACCAGCCAGCGAUGGACUAAAAGAAUCGGGUUUUCGUCCAGGAUGUGCCACGAGAAUGGUGAAUCCCUCAUCGCAUAUGCGGAAAAGAGGUUCAGAUAACAUUUCCAGUGUAGUAUCACCACAGAUGAGCAUUAAAGUAGCCGGAGGUUUCACACUCAUUCUCCAGCCAAACAACUGAGACAGACAAUCUGUUUUGAGCAAAAAAGAAAUCAACGUUGAGAACCGUUACUUGUAAAAAGAAAAAAACCAAAGGGAUAAAAAGACAUACAGCCGAAGAUGUUUGAAAUAUGGAUUCCAGAGGAAAAGAGCACUUCCAGGAAGGAGGCAGAGCGUGGGUUGAGAUGUAGGUUGGACAUGGCAGUGAUGGUGACCGGACCAAGGUAGCCUGAAUUUUUCAAUGCCGAUCUUAUACUCCGACCAGCCAGCGAUGGACUAAAAGAAUCGGGAAGCGGACAGCUGUCCAUGUCCCAAAGCACAGUCGUUGUCGCCAUAUGCACACUUGGCCGAAAGCAAAAAUGAGGAGCGGGGGCAAAGGAUCUGUUGAGCCUCAUCGCAUAUGCGGAAAAGAGGUUCAGAUAACAUUUCCAGUGUGUAUCACCACAGAUGAGCAUUAAAGUAGCCGGAGGUUGCGCACUCAUUCUCCAGCCAAACAACUGAGACAGGUAAUCUGUUUCGAGCAAAAAGGAAAUCAACGUUGAGAACCGUUACUUGUAAAAAGAAAAAAACCAAAGGGAUAAAAAGACAUACAGCCGAAGAUGUUUGAAAUAUGGAUUCCAGAGGAAAAGAGCGCUUCCAGGAGGGAAGCAGAGCGUGGGUUGAGAUGUAGGUUGGACAUGGC
rnacentral:lncRNA from 1 species